rnacentral:tRNA from 1 species
GGAACUGUAGCUCCUGGUCAGGUCAAAGUGCCUGUCUAGUAAACAGGAGAUCCUGGGUUCAAAUCCCAGCAGUGCCU